rnacentral:lncRNA from 1 species
GGCUCAUGUGCUUCCUUCUUCCUCCUUUCUUCUACUUCCAUGGAUCUCACCGACUUCCUUCUUUGUGGCAUUCUCAUUUUGGGGGCCAUGUCUCAAGAAGAGGGUGGAUAAUGGUCAAGAGGGUGGAGAAGGAUGUGGAUUGAAGUGAACUAAGUGGAGAAGAUGAUUUUUGGAAAGUUUCUCAUGGAUUUGAGGGUUAGGGUUUGGAAUUUAGGGAAAUCAGGAAAAUGAGCCAUGAAAGCAGCAAAUUUGGAGAGAGUAGAUCUCGGUUUUGAGAGAUUUUGGGAUUUUUGGGAGAUCUAGGAUGAGAUUCCUAGGUUGGAACGAGAGGGAGAAG